UCCCUGGUGGUCCAGUGGUUAGGACCCCGGGCUUUCACUGCUGUGGCCCAGGUUCAGUUCCUGGGCAGGGAA
rnacentral:tRNA from 1 species